CUUCCCCAUUUCACUACUGGCGCCGCCGUUUUCAGUUCCCUGUUUUGUCACUGGCACUCUAGCUUCAGCCUUUCCCGAUUGAUCAGGUUGGAAUAUUAGAAAUUGAAGCAUUUUGUCCUGCUAAGAGGUGUAGGUCGAGUAAACUACCAGUGUAAAAAAGCUUUAAAUAAUUUUGCC